AUUUUAUUCUUAGUCAUUAUUGUCUUUCUUUCAGCUUAAGGAUGUCCCUUUAGCAUUUUAUGCCAGACAGAUCUGAUGGAGAGUGAGAAAACUCUCCCCGUGAUUCAUUCUCUAACUGCCUGCAACAACAAGCAGUGAAACAGAAACUCACUUCUUGUCUUCCACGUGGGAGCAGAGACACAAGUAGUUAGGCUGUCAUUUGCUGCCUCCCAAGGAAUGUUUGGAGUCAUGGUGAUCCAGGAUGAUGUCAUACUGUAAGUAUCUGGGGUCUGCCUACUCGGGGUCCAAAGUGGGAAUUUAAUCCAGUGGAUCUGGAAAAGAUGAUGAGAUAUAAGCAGAUGGAACUAAGGGACCAAAGCCUAGGGAGAGUGAUUUGGUCUGGAGAUGCAUGGUGAAGAUGGUAGAGUUUAUACAAAAGGUGGCAGUGCUAGCAGGCAGCAUGAGGUUCCUAGGGAGUGCCUAGGGAUACAGGUAAGCAAAAGACCCUGGGAUUGACCCCAUAAGCCUGGAAAACCUCCCUGAGAAGAGAAAAGAGGCUGAAAAGAAUGUGAAGAUAAGGCAUGUGAGAAAACCAGGGUAGAAACCAGGCUUCUAGAGGCAAAUGUUCAUAGUAUCAGAAAAACAAAAAAGCAUAUAUUUAUCAAUGGCUAUAAAAGGAAUCUUGAAUGUAAGUCUGACAAUAAGAGGGAGCAGCCUCUAGAUGACAAGGUGUGGGGAGGGAACAGGUAAUGUCUGAUCUAGUCAAUGCCAGUGUAAAAUGGGGUUGAAAUUAGACUGAACACAGAGGGGGAAGCAGAGUCAGAGGAAGAUUCUCUCUCUCUCUCCCUCUCCUUUCACCAAUGGCAGGGAGAAAUACUGAUUAAACAAAUAAGCUUUACUGGAGAAACAAGAUUCUGAAGUUUGGAAUGAGAGUGAAAAGGUAGAAAAUGGCCAGAGAGUCCAGGAAGAUGAGAUAUUUUUUCCAACAAUUUAUUUAUUUGAAAGGAAGAGGCAGAGAGAGAAAGAGGGAGAGAGAGAGAGAGAGAAAGAGAGAGAGAUCAAUCUUCUAUCUUUUGAUUUUCUCCCUAAAUAUCCACAAUGGUGAGAUCUGUACUAAGCCAAAACCAGGAACCUGGAAUUCCAUACAGGUCUCUCACAUGGGUAAAGGGGGCCCAAAUGUUAGGGUACCAUCCUCUGCUGCUUUCCCAGGCACAUUAGCAGGGAGCUGGAUAGGAAGUGAGGCAGCCAGGAUUCUAACUCGCACUCUGGUAUGGGAUUCCAGUGUUGAAGGCAGCAGCUUAACUCGCUGUGCCACAUACCAGUCCCAGAAGAUCAGUUCUUGAAGAGGAGGUGUUGUACCCUCUGCACUAAUACCUGAGGGGGCCAGCACUGUGGCGUAGUGGGCUAAGCCUCUGCCUGUGGUGCUGUCAUCCUACUUGGUCACCAGUUCGAGUACUGGCAGCUCCCUCUUCCAAUCCAGCUAUCCACUAUGGCCUGGGAAAGCAAUGGAAAAUUUCUCAAGUGCUUGAGCCUCUGCACCUGUUUGAGAGACGUGGAAGAAGCUCCUGACUCCUGGCUUCAGAUCAGCUCAGAUCAGCUCCCGCCAUUGCAGCCAUUUGGGGAAUGAACCAAUGGAUGAAAGACCUCUCUCUGUGUCUCUCCCUUUCUUUGUCUGCAACUCUACCUCUCAAAUAAAUAAAUAAAAUCUUUAAUAAAAUAAUACAUGAGAAGGGAUGGAGGGAGAGAGAGAAAUAAUCUAGUAUGGAUAGCAUGGAAUGUACAAGUGGUAGCCUAAUAUGUUCAGGAAAGAAGUAAUGGAAAGAUUUUACAUAAUCUGCAUAAAAAAUGGAGGGGCAGGGGUUAGUUUUGAUAUGACCAGUCAGUAGGGAGUGAGAGGAAUCAAUAUAGGAGUAACCAAGAACAAAAACAGCACAAACCAACACACAUACACACAAAGUGGGGAAAAGAGAAGUCAGUUCAAUAGUUCCAGAAGCUUCCAGGACCACUGACUAUGUUUAGACCAUUUCUUGGCACAGAAUCAGAGAAUUUUGUUCCCUCUUCCUUGGGGAACUCCCACUUAAUGAGAGAACAGCUGCAUGGACUAACUGAAAGGAAAUGAAAGUAAAAUAUUAGCAUAAUAACAUGAUGAUUUUCAACAAUGUUUAUUGUAGGAUAAGGGCAACUUGAAUUGGGGGCUGUGAAGAUUCAGGUUUCUAAUGACCACAUGGAAUUGCUUAGGUGGAAAAUCAUCAAAAAAGACAAAAUGUACUGAGGCAUCCCCAAAGCUUUGACCCAAAAGGAAGUGGGAGACCUGACUCUGCUCACAUGAUAUCAGAAAGUUUUGAUCUUUGCAGAUGUAUAUAUCUUCCCCAGCAUGUGCUAAGGCACCAGACUCUACAUCCUGGCAUGUAUGUGUUGAGAUCUACAGUUUUCAUUAAAGUGGAAUAUUCCCACCCCAUGCAUAAUCGUCAGCCUCUUCCUCUCCCAGGAAUUGCUCUGUUCUUGUCCCUUUCCUCCCUCUCUUACUGACAAGUGGUACUUGAUGGGUCAUCCUUAGUUAUCCAAUCCCUUACAAGACAGUUUGCUUCCCUGACUGCACCAACAGAAAUUCUUGGCAAGCAACUGAUAGAAUCUCCAUUUAUAGUCUUUGCCAUUAAGACCUAUUUGAAAUCUGCAAGAUUUCAAGCACAUGUUUUCAAGCACAUUUGGAUUGGGGUUUUCUGGGAUGCAGCUCUAAACAAGCCUGAUAAAUUCUCUUGUUUCUUAAUUUCUCUCUCAGUUUCUCUUAAGUGUCUACACAAGGGUAGCAUUGCUCUUGGUGGAACAUGAUAACCAGUCAAGGAAGAGAGGUAUAGGAUUAAGGGCAAGCACUGCUCCUAUAUGGAGAAAGUGUCCAACGGAGAAGUCACACCUCCAAGGGACCAUCAAGAUAGAGAUCUUUUAAGUGUUAGGAGGCACUGAGGGUAAGCCCUGCUGGUGGCUGGCUGAGGUACUGUGAGAGGAAAUGGAUGAGCUAGAAGAGUUGUGAAGAUGUAAUAAAGGCUUGCACGUGUCAUAAUGUGAACUCAAAAAAUGGGAGGUAUAUCAGCUUGGAGAGAGGUUGGCUCCCCACAAAUCUGAGAGAGACUAGGGCAUGGAAGGUGCCAUUCACCCAUGAAUGUCUCUAGAUGCGGUAGUUCUGAUUCUAAUACCGGCAUUGACAUCAGUUCAUCUUCUUGAGAUACACUAUUGUUUCAGAGCUACCUUGCCAUGAAGAUUCAUUAUCUUGUCUUAGCUCUUCUGUUCUUUGGCUUGCUGUCUAUUGCAGGAACUGUAGAUGCUCAUGAAGUCACUAGUGUCCCGGAGUGCAAAAACCAAACAUUGUGUAUUUAUCGAAAUGAAACUGGACACUGUUCUGACUCGAAGGAGGUCGAAGUUUGUGUCUUGCAUCUUAGAAAAAAAAACAAACCAACAAACCUUAAAGAAAUAGAAAAUUAGGAAGACAGGAUGACCAACUCCUUUGUCUUAUUAAUAAAAUAAAAUCUUCCUUCUCCUCUCUCUA